rnacentral:rRNA from 1 species
AGGGCGCACAGUCAGUGGGGGUAGACGCGAAACCAAGUGAUCUACACUUGGCCAGGAUGAAGUCCCGGUAACACGGGAUGGAGGUCCGCACCAAUAAGCGUUGAAAAGCUUCUGGAUGAGCCGAGUGUAGGAGUGAAAGGCCAAUCAAACUUGGAGAUAGCUCGUACUCCCCGAAAGGCAUUUAGGUGCCGCGUCGGAUGGUCACCGUGAGAGGUAGAGCGACCGAUAGGACAAGAGGGCUUCACCGCCUAUCGAGUCCUGACGAACUCCGAAUGCUCACGGUUUGCAGUCCGGCAGUAAGGGGGCGGGUGCUAAGGUCCGUCCCCGAGAGGAGAAGAAUCCAGACCGCCGUCUAAGGUCCCGGAGUUCUGCCUGAGUUAGUCUAACGAAGUCUGGUCCCUAUGACAGCUAGGAUGUUGGCUUGGAAGCAGCCAUUCAUUCAAAGAGUGCGUAACAGCUCACUAGUCGAGGGUCCGGGCAUGGAUAAUAAUCGGGUAUAAGGCAGACACCGAAGGCGCGGGAUAGCAAUUAUAAAAGUAUCGGUAGGGGAGCAUACUCACAGCGUCGAAUGGUGUACGUAAGUUAUCCUGGAGCGGUGAGUAAAGCAAAUGUAGGAAUAAGUAACGAUAAGGAGGGUUAGAUUCCCUCCCGCUGUAAGACCAAGGUUUCCCGGGCAAUGCCAAUCAGCCCGGGGUCAGUCGGGUCCUAAGUCUAAGCCGAACGGCGAUGGCGAUGGCAGAGACGGUUAAUAUUCCGUCACUGCCGCAUGGGGCGACGUGGAGACGGAGCAGUGAAACCACCGCGGGGCGACGGAAGUCCCCGUUGAAGAGUGUAGGUGUUGAGGAUGGCAGGCAAAUCCACCAUCCGAGCUGAACUUGACAGUACGGAGUCCUCCUCGGAGGAAUCUGAUAGUGUGGGUAAUCAUACUCCCGAGAAAAUCCGCUAAGCUUAACCCAUGCGGCACCCGUACCGCAAACGGACACACGUGGUCGGGUAGAACAUACUAAGGCGUUGAGAGAUUCAUGGUUAAGGAACUAGGCAAAUUGACCCUGUAACUUCGGGAUAAAGGGUCCUCGUGAUGAGCGAGGCGCAGAGAAUAGGUCCAGGCAACUGUUUAACAAAAACACAGGGCUGUGCAAACUCGAAAGAUGACGUAUACAGCCUGACACCUGCCCGGUGCCGGAAGGUUAAGAGGAGAUGUCACACGUAAGUGGAAGCAUUGAAUUGAAGCCCCGGUAAACGGCGGCCGUAACUAUAACGGUCCUAAGGUAGCGAAAUUCCUUGUCGGGU